GCCGCAUCGCCAUCGCCAUCGUAACAAAACGCAAAAACUUUCAAAAACGAAGCGAGUUUCAAAACUUUCGCAACUUUCGGGCGCUUUCAGACUUUAGGAAGAAACAUCGAAGAACGUUCUUGGAAAAAGGAAGUGUCCUAGGUGCCGGCGUGCCCAUAAAACCAGCUGUGGAUAUGAGUCUAAUUGUCAGCGUGAAAGCGAACGUGUGCGGUUCCUUGUCGCACAGGUGCUUUCCGCAUUAGAUGACCCUCGAGCUUUUGCCAAGGAAGCCACGGAACCGACCUGUCACUGCACGGGCACUCAGAUUGCGGGAACGCAACCAAAGGCAAAGGUCCCACCGGAGGCAAGGGGGGCCAAGCGAGACACUUGGAAAGCACAAGCAUUACAGGCCAGCUGCCCUCACAAUCAAGACCCCCCCCUUUCUCUUCCUGGUAGUUGCUGUCGAUAAAUUGAUCAAGUGACAAGACGUCCACGGAACAUCAGUCCUCCAAGCACAUCCAUACGGAGGAGACGAGCAGAUGACAGCGAGGACAAACUGAACCUAUUCCCGGCCCUGCAUUUCCGCAAAAUGCCAACAUCGCACUGUGGUACAGUUUUCCAAGGUCACAAGUGAUGUUUGCGACUACGAUCACUGUGCUAUUAUGAAAAAGUAUUGUGUGCUGCUGUUAUAUACCGAGCAAGACAAAGCAUCAUGACAGGCUUAGCGUGAAGUGCUACUAGCUUUACUAACCAUAUGACACAAGUAUCGUCCUGCUCCAGGAGGCUUCAGCGUCUAAGUGAUGAAGUCCUGGUGUUGCGGAGGGGCAUUUGGAAAUACCUUCACGCACUGCUUGCUUGUGCACCACUCUUCAGCACACUACAGCCGUAAGAAAGGUCUUGGCUGGGUUGAAAACUGGGUGGACAUGCAGGGAAGCUUGCAGCUUGCUAGGCAAGUUUUGAAAGAAGCUUCUUGAAACCGACCCGGAGGAGCACCAGAACCUGCAGCUUGUCAGCUGGGCAAAGUUCUUGCAGCUUUUUUCACGAGUGGAAAAUAAGAAUGGUUCGACAAAAUGAAACAGCGAAUGGACAAAAUACAGGGCACUAUCUUUGUUUGGCUCAUUCGAAAACCAAAAAUAUUGCUGUGCUGUUGGUUCUCUACCGUAAACGCUUUUACUGUUACUCAUCUGCUAAAAAUCUGGGCAUGGAAGGGCACUUUGCCCUUAAGUCUGGGCGUCUGCUGACGAGGUGCAAAUCGGAGGAAUAGCCGACAUGGUGGUAACGUGACAAACGGUCCACGGAUGAAAAUUGCGAUUCAAUCCAUCGCGUGAAUCUGCCAUUAUUUGACAAUUGUCCUAAUAUGAUUAAUUGAUCCCUAUUAAAAAAGAACAAUUGUUCUCUGAAACAAUGUAAUGAAAGGAAGUUUUUAUAAACAAUGCCUGCUCCUUUGCAACGGAAUAGUAUGAGCCUUGGUAUAACAGGAACUUUCCGUAGAUCAGACAUACAUUUAUUCCAUGCUCAAAGUAAAGACAUGAGUUUGUCUUGGAAUGCCAACCUCCUGUGUAUGAUCUGUAAAAAGUCCUUAAUGACCGUGGUCAAGGGAGAGGAGUUUCUGCUUUCAAGAACAGGAUGGGGUGAAAGAAAAAGUGUCUCGAUGAACAAUGAAUGCUCCAGCUUAUCCACUCAGCCAAGUUUCUGCAACAUGAACUAGGCUCUAAGAGAAAGACGUAGGAUAAGACUUCGAAAGCUUUAGGAUUUGCCAAGGGAUGAAAUUAAUUAGAUGCACAAAAAAGUAGACGGAGGAGGAUGGCAAGAAAAUUUUGGGGCUUGUGUUCUUACACUUGAAUUGUUUGUGCAGGAACCAUUACUGAAGCAGCACUUCAUUCCUGAGGCAAUAAUUUAUUGCUAGUCAAAGCCUGUUUCCAGAAAUGCACAUCAGCUGCCCUUACAUGCACCAUGAAGAUACCGAGAAGGUCUUCAAUUGAAUGACAACUUCAAACACAAGCAUGGAGGGGCAUCUAAAUGGCCAGCACAAGGACAACUAUAAUGUAAAUUUUCUCCAAAGUUAAAGCAAGGCAUGCCUUCUUCCAAUAAAGGUAUUGUGGCGAAA